GACAGAGGCCUCGAGCGUUAGGCGGAAUCACUGGGCUUAAAGCGUGUGUAGGCGGUUUCUUAAGUACCUUGUGAAAUCCCACGGCUCAACCGUGGAACUGCUCGGUAUACUGGGAGUCUUGAGCCAUCCAGGGGUUACCGGAACAAACGGUGGAGCGGUGAAAUGCGUAGAUAUCGUGUGGAACGCCAAUGGUGAAAACAGGUAACUGGGGAUGUGCUGACGCUGAGACACGAAAGCCAGGGGAGCAAACGGG
rnacentral:rRNA from 1 species